UAGGUUUUUUUUUUUUUUUCAGCAGAAAAGUUAAUGCUAGACAAGUUUGAAAUUUUUAACAGAGGCCUAAUGUGGACUUGCAUGAUUAUGUCAUGAGUUCUUGGAUUGUGAAUUUACAGUGGAACUAAAGGCUUAGGUUCUCAGUUUUUGAAUGAUAAGAAGAAAUCAAGGAUCUUAGCAUAUGUCAAGAUGAAAUAGUAGAGGCUAGCCUUGGGCCCUCUAUUAAGGUUUUUCCUUUUUCACCAGUGGGUCGUGGAUUCAAAUCAUGGAAACAACAAGCUGGGAGAAGAUUGUGUAUGCAAUAGACACCUCUCUUCCAACCCUUUCAAGUCAAGGACCCUUGUUCAUAAAGAUGCCCUUUAUAAAUGUACAUAAAGUAUGGAUAAAUUAAGAGAAAUAAAGAUUGAACUAAAAGAGAAAUUGGAAGAGAUGAUAGAAUUCAUAGUAAAGUUUCGAAAUUCAAAUGAGACUUUAGGAAGUAUUAAUUUUUCAAUCACUAAAAAAGAAUGGAUAAGCUAUGCAUUUACACAAUUCAUCUAACUGUAGUAUGAUUUUCAAAUUUGAAGAUGUUAGGCUUUGUGAAUGAGAAUCAAUGUUGAGAAACCUAAUGCUUAGCAAUAGUCCUUUUUGCCUUGGCCUUUCCUUUUUGUCUUGAUGUUACAGGAUUGCUAGAUAACUUUGCAGGUUUAGAAGAAUCA
rnacentral:misc_RNA from 1 species